rnacentral:rRNA from 1 species
AUUGAACGCUGGCGGCAGGCCUAACACAUGCAAGUCGAACGAGUGGCGGACGGGUGAGUAAUGUCUGGGAAACUGCCUGAUGGAGGGGGAUAACUACUGGAAACGGUAGCUAAUACCGCAUACCAUCGGAUGUGCCCAGAUGGGAUUGGCUCGUAGGUGGGGUAAAGGCUCAACUAGGCUACGAUCCCUAGCUGGUCUGAGAGGAUUACCAGCCACACUGGAACUGAGACACGGUCCAGCCUCCUACGGUAGGCAGCAGUGGUGAAUAUUGCACAAUGGGCGCAAGCCUGAUGCAGCCAUGCCGCGGGUGUGAAGAAGGCCUGCGGGUUGUAAAGCACUUUCAGCGAGGAGGCGUUACUCGCAGAAGAAGCACCGGCUAACUCCGUGCCAGCAGCCGCGGUAAUAC